rnacentral:rRNA from 1 species
GAUUUCUGAUCUGAAACAUUUGGCCGGCCACGGUUUCGUGUGUUAGUGCUUGAUGUUCUGAUCAUCCUUCCAAUCGCUAUUGGCUUAUCUUCAUUGAUUGGUCAGUAGUAUUGGAUCUUUUACUUUGAAAAAAUUAGAGUGUUUCAAGCAGGCUUUAUGCUAUGAAUACAUUAGCAUGGAAUAAUAAUUUAGGACUUCGGUUCUAUUUUGUUGGUUUCUAGGACUGAAGUAAUGAUUGAUAGGGAUAGUUGGGGGUGCUAGUAUUCAGCGGCCAGAGGUGAAAUUCUCGGAUUCGCUGAAGACUAACUUAUGCGAAAGCAUU